rnacentral:rRNA from 1 species
ACGGAAGGCAGCAGUGGGGGAUAUUGCACAAUGGGGGAAGCCCUGAUGCAGCGACGCCGCGUGAGUGAAGAAGUAUUUCGGUAUGUAAAGCUCUUUAAGUUGGGAAGAUAAUGACGGUACCAACAGAAUAAGCCCCGGCUGACUACGUGCCAGCAGCCGCGGUAAUACGUAGGGGGCAAGCGUCAUCCGGAUUUACUGGGUGUAAAGGGAGCGUAGACGGCAUAGCAAGUCUGAAGUGAAAUCAUAGGGCUUAACCCGGUAAUUGCUUUGGAAACUGUUAAGCUCGAGUACCGGAGGGGCAGGCGGAAUUCCUGGUGUAGCGGUGAAAUGCGUAGAUAUCAGGAAGAACACCGGUGGCGAAGGCGGCCUGCUGGACGGUAACUGACGUUGAGGCUCGAAAGCGUGGGGAGCAAACAGGAUUAGAUACCCUGGUA